CAGCAACGCCCCGUGAGGGAUGACGGCCUUCGGGUUGUAAACCGCUUUAGCAGGGACGAAAAUGACGGUACCUGCAGAAGAAGCCCCGGCCAACUACGUGCCAGCAGCCGCGGUAACACGUAGGGGGCGAGCGUUGUCCGGAUUUAUUGGGCGUAAAGAGCUCGUAGGCGGUUUCGUAAGUCGGGUGUGAAAGCUUCAGGCUCAACCUGGAGAAGCCCUCGGUACUGCGAUGACUAGAGUCCGGUAGGGGAGCGUGGAAUUCCUGGUGUAGCGGUGAAAUGCGCAGAUAUCAGGAGGAACACCAACGGCGAAGGCAGCGCUCUGGGCCGGAACUGACGCUGAGGAGCGAAAGCGUGGUAGCGAACAGGAUUAGAUACCCUGGUAGUCCACGCCGUAA
rnacentral:rRNA from 1 species